CUGGAAGUUCUGUGGGCACCUGGGGGCUGGGGGGGCUUCUGUUCCCAUCCAGUCUUAGGGCUGUCGUGACGGGGAGUUGGGGCCACGAGGAGGCUGCCCUGGACAUGGGCCGGGACUGGCGCUCGUCCCUGCUGCUUCCUGCAGUGAUAUAAACUGUGUUAUGAGUCUGUGGUUUUUCUUCUCAACUAGAUUGAGUCUUGAGAGCAGAGACUAUGACUGAUUCAAAAAAUAUAUUAAUUAGAUAUAUUAAUUAAAGAGCACAAUUCAGUGGCAUACAGUAUAUUCACAGUGUUAUGAUACCACCACCUUCUGCCUGGUUCCAAAUGUUUUCAUCACCCCAAAGGGCACCCCACACUCGGUAAGCAGUUACCCCCCGUCCCCCUGCCCCAGCCCCUGGCCACCCCCAUCUGCUUUCUGUCUCUGUGUACAAGUGAACUUCUGUUUCCAUCCCACUCGGUUCACUGCUGACACUUUUCCCCACACCAGUGACUCUCCAACUCUCUCACACCAGCUGGGCGUCCUAAAUUCAGUUCCCUUCUGACGCUCCCUGGAGUUGGUGCAGACCCUGCAGGUGAAGGGCCGGGCCGCACGAGACUGCCCCCGCCGCAGCCGCCAGUCACCAGUAGUGGGUCCUCAGGUCCCCACACUGUGUCUGACUUGGCUACAACUCGGAGUUCCCAUGACCUCCUCCUUGGGUUUGAUAAUUUGCUAGAGUGGCUCACAGAACUCAGGGAGACACUUACAUACAUUUACCAGUUUAUCAUAAAGGAUAGAGCUGAAGUGGUACCCAGGGCGACGUCCGGAAGGGCCCCGAGCCCAGGAGCUCCUGUCCCCGUGGAACUGGGGUGGACGCGUUCACCAACCGGCAGCUCUCUGAACCUGUUUGCCCAGGGAUUUUUAUGGAGGCUCGGUUCCCUGGGCCUGCUUGAUUACAUCAUUGGCCACUGGUGAUCCACUCUUGUUUAAUCCUCACGACCAGACAGAGGUCUUUUAAAGCAGGGCAGCUGAGGCCCAGGAGCUUAAGCAAAAAUAGAUCCCAAAUUUGCACCUGACUAUGUGGCAUCAGAGGCAAAGCUCAGAGGCCCUGCUGGUCCAGGGGAAAUUGCUGCCCCAUGGGUGGCCUAUGUCCCGGGCCGUGGGAGCCCAUUUUCACCUUCUAUUCAAGCACCUCCUCAUCACGGCCGCGGGGCCCCUUCUCACCCCCCUGAGCAUCCUAGAGAUUCUCCUCAAGGGCGUGUGAAGAAAAGCAGUUUCUGGCCCUUUCCAGCUUGCACAGCGAUAGGGGCUCUCCCUCCGGAAUCGAAACCCUUUCUUGUCAGUUGCAGUCAGCCGAGAUCAGAGGACAAAUUCCCAUUAAACUGUCAAGGAGGCAUCCGCUUUUUUUCUUUUUACCAUUAAAAAGCCACCGAUUCAAUAAUUUCCUAUUCUUCCUUCCAACUAUUCUUGCUCCCGACAAUGCAAUCAAAGCAGGAGCGGGCAAAACUUCCCCUCCUCCCCGGGUCUUCCUUUUUCUGGUCUCCCAGAAGGGAGUAGAGAAAAUUGAAAGCCCCAGGGAAGGAAAGGACCAAUCAGAAAAAGCUGAAUCUGCUCCCCUAACCAGUCACAUACGAUGCCUGCUUCUGGUGAGCCACCCACAGCUUCGCCGGUUCCCCAGCCUCCCUCAGGGCACCCCUGAGCCUCCCCUCUCUUCCGCUAUUAAGGUCUCCUCCUCCUCCGCCUGCCUGAGUCUCCACCCAAUGCAAGUGAUGGUGGCUGACCCCCUUGCGAUAGUCAGCUCUGGAAAAGUCCCUUUUCUUUUCACAUUCAGGUGGGUUUCAUUUAUUUCCACGAUGCCAGGUGUUAAGGAUGUCAAAGCAGAAA
ensembl:lncRNA